rnacentral:rRNA from 1 species
AGAGUUCGAUUAUGGCUCAGGAUGAACGCUGGCGGCGUGCCUAACACAUGCAAGUCGAGCGAUUCUCUUCGGAGAAGAGCGGCGGACGGGUGAGUAACGCGUGGGUAACCUGCCCUGUACACACGGAUAACAUACCGAAAGGUAUGCUAAUACGAGAUAAUAUGCUUUUAUCGCAUGGUAGAAGUAUCAAAGCUUUUGCGGUACAGGAUGGACCCGCGUCUGAUUAGCUAGUUGGUAAGGUAACGGCUUACCAAGGCGACGAUCAGUAGCCGACCUGAGAGGGUGAUCGGCCACAUUGGAACUGAGACACGGUCCAA